rnacentral:rRNA from 1 species
AGCGAACGCUGGCGGCAGGCCUAACACAUGCAAGUCGAACGGAUCCUUCGGGAUUAGUGGCGGACGGGUGAGUAACACGUGGGAACGUGCCCUUUGGUUCGGAACAACUCAGGGAAACUUGAGCUAAUACCGGAUGUGCCCUUCGGGGGAAAGAUUUAUCGCCAUUGGAGCGGCCCGCGUCUGAUUAGCUAGUUGGUGAGGUAAAGGCUCACCAAGGCUACGAUCAGUAGCUGGUCUGAGAGGAUGAUCAGCCACAUUGGGACUGAGACACGGCCCAAAC